rnacentral:tRNA from 1 species
ACUUAUAUAGUUUAACUUAAAACUCUUCAUUUUCAAUGAAAAAAUAGAUAUUAAUAUCUUAUAAGUU